CUGGGGGUUUUGCUGUAGUCAUGCACCCUCUAGGAAGGACGCCAUGCUGGAUUUCUCCACUUUCAUUGCAGUAAAUCUGGACAUGACAUUGCUGUAACAAAGCAGGCAGCUGGGUCUGCAUGGCUGUCACCCCCUCACAAGCCAAGGUCAUUUGAAAAGUCUCCUGUGACAGAUGGGCAAAAGCAUUUCUUCCUGCUUCAAAGGCACAGGAUGCUGCUUUGGAGCCAGUUUUUCUUCUGCAGGUCUUCUUGUCAGUGAGCAGGAAGGAAAAUCUGCAAACAAAGGCAACUUCAGUGAUCUUGGAACAUGAAGAAUAAUGUCCUUCAUUGCUGCCAUGCAGGGCUCAGUGCAAAGAGCUGAACGGCACUGAUUCCUACAGUCAAGGACGUAUGGCCCUCUUGUUCCUUUGCAAGAUAAGCCAUUCCCAACUGGAUAUUAACUCUUCCUGGAAAUGCAGCGUCAAAAACAAUGGCAAUACACUAUCAAGAUCCAGCACUUCCCUUAAGAAACUGUGAAGCACCAAGGAGAGCUUUGUUGCAGAAGAAACAACGCAGACAUAUAAUGCAACAAGACAUGAACAUUGAUGGGAACAGCCCGUGGCUUUGAUGUUAGUUGCAGAUGCACAGAGAUAGUGCUGAGGCCACCUCAGAGGGUCCUGGCGCUGCUUUGCUGAGGCAGAGACCGGUGUGUGAAGCACCAGAGUUUUGUAGCCCUGUGUGGCCACAGAGGUUCAUUUCCCUGGCAGAGCGGCCCACGAGAUGAAAUGAGGCUGCACGUUAUUGAUUCCCACGAGGAGGGCAAUACAAGUCAGGGAGACGAGAAGCACUAUGGAAAAG
rnacentral:lncRNA from 1 species